UAAGGAAUAUUGGUCAAUGGAGGCAACUCUGAACCAGCCAUGCCGCGUGCAGGAAGACUGCCCUAUGGGUUGUAAACUGCUUUUAUCCGGGAAUAAACCUAUCUACGUGUAGAUAGCUGAAUGUUCCGGAAGAAUAAGGAGAGGCUAACUCCGUGC
rnacentral:rRNA from 1 species